rnacentral:rRNA from 1 species
GACGAACGCUUGCGGCGUGCCUAAUACAUGCAAGUAGGACGCAGAUGCGAACGGGUGAGUAAAGCGUAGGUAACUACCUACUAGUGGGGGAUAAAUAUUGGAAACGAUAGCUAAUACCGAAUACUAUUGGAUGGACCUGCGUUUUAUUAGCUAGUAGGUAGGGUAAAGGCCUACCUAGGCAACGAUACAUAACCGACCUGAGAGGUUGAUCGGCCACACUGGGACUUAGACACGGCCCAGACUCCUACGGGAGGCAGCAGUAGGGAAUCUUCGGCAAUGGGGGGAACCCUGACCGAGCAACGCCGCGUGAGUGAAGAAGGUGUUCGGAUCGUAAAGCUCUGUUGUUAAGGAAGCGGUACUUAACCAGAAAGGGACGGCUAACUACGUGCCAGCAGCCGCGGUAAUUC